UCGUCGCUUUGUUGCGGGCAGAUGAAAUGGAUGUGCGAGUCAAUACCGCCAGCGGUCAGGAUGCGGCCUUCCCCGGCGAUCACUUCGGUGCCGGGGCCGACGAUGAUAUCCACGUUCGGCUGAAUGUCCGGGUUGCCCGCCUUGCCAAUCGCACAGAUCAACCCGUCCUUCAGCCCGACAUCGGCCUUGACGAUCCCCCAGUGGUCGAGGAUCAGCGCAUUGGUGAUCACCGUAUCAACCGCGCCCUCGGCCCGUGACAGUUGCGACUGCCCCAUGCCGUCGCGG
rnacentral:sRNA from 1 species